GAAUCCUUAAAUCUCGACGAUUCAACAAUAAUUGACUAUUAUUAUUUCAAGUAAGCCGCCGUGGUGAAAUCGGUAGACACGCUGCUCUUAGGAAGCAGUGCUAGAGCAUCUCGGUUCGAGUCCGAGUGGCGGCA
rnacentral:tRNA from 1 species